AGCAGCCGCCACGGUAAUACGGAGGGUGCAAGCGUUAAUCGGAAUUACUGGGCGUAAAGCGCACGCAGGCGGUCUGUCAAGUCAGAUGUGAAAUCCCCGGGCUUAACCUGGGAACUGCAUUUGAAACUGGCAGGCUAGAGUCUUGUAGAGGGGGGUAGAAUUCCAGGUGUAGCGGUGAAAUGCGUAGAGAUCUGGAGGAAUACCGGUGGCGAAGGCGGCCCCCUGGACAAAGACUGACGCUCAGGUGCGAAAGCGUGGGGAGCAAACAGGAUUAGAUACCCGAGUAGUCCCUGUCUCUUAUAC
rnacentral:rRNA from 1 species